UGACUCUGAAACUUAAUUUCAAACUGAGUUUAAAUGGGUUGGGAUACUAAUAUCUCAAUCGUUAAAUCUAAACCAUGAUGAUUAUAAAUUUUUAAUUUUGAAUUCACCUGAGUCCAUUUAAAAAAUUAUUUGAAAUUUCAAACGGUCGACUACUUCUCAAAACCACCCGAUUCCUCCCACCCGGGAAUUGGGGUACAAUUGGAAAGACACACAUUGGGGCAGAGAAAGAAAAAGGAAAUGAAGAACAGCUGUUGCUUUGUCUGAAAUUCGCCGCUGCUGUCUCUACUCUACCAUAUUUGCGCUGAAGUGGAAGUUAAGGGGAGUUUGUCGUUCAAUUCUGUAUCUUUUCUCAUAUUGCCACAACUCCUAUCCACCGAUCUUCACUUGACUCUCUCUAUUUGUCCAUAAAACAGUUAUCCGUGCAUCUCUAUGUGCUUCAGUAACUCUUUGUGACUGUCUUUGCUCUGCCUCCUGUGUCUUCUUUAAGUAGAUUAAAAAAAUCUGUGUUCUUGAUUUUUUUUUCUUGUUGAUUGCAGCAGCAAUUUGUUGCCAUAUCUCUUGUUCUAAGGUUGAAAAGGAAUAAAAAAUUACAACUAAACUGAUCCUGGUUACUGUCCUUCCCGUUGUCGACGAGAUCAUUGAAGACCUAAUAAAAAAAAUAGAUUGUUAGACUUCAGUUACGUUUUCGAGUGUGACAUAAGGUUUUGAGAUUCUAGGAUGAGGCUGAGCUGUUGAAAAACAAAAAUACAACGGAAAUCCGUUGAUGGUGCUUCAUGAAAAGGGGAAGAAUUCUACCGAGUAUCUUACAUAGUGGCUGAGCAGUGUGGACAAAGCAAGGAACUGUUGGAAGGCAAAAAACAAGCCAACAAUGUCAUUUCAUUGUCCCAAUGUGAAGACUCGCUACCAGCUGUGCUAGAAAGCAAAGAAUAAAGCACAACUGGUAAGCUUUGGAAUGAGGGUGAAUUGGCCAUGAGGCCUUGCCUUCCAGGUUAUGAUCAUAUGGCCUUGCUUUUAAAUGUUACAAUUUUGAAGGAAAAAAUAGAUUGCUGUGGCAUGGUUGGUGUGGGUAAGAUUAUUGUUAUAUAUAUGAUGGGCAAAUAAGUAAAACAGUAGCCCAUCUAUUUUUGUGAGCAGCCCCUCUAAUUUUGGGAGCUUUAUCCAUCUCAACUACUUUCUUGCUAAGCUUGAUUGCUUUCUUGCUUUCCUGGAAGAAAGCAAGAAAGCAAUCCAGCUUAGUUGGAAGAAUGGAUAUUAUUUAUAGAAUAUGUGCACCCAAAAGUUUGCACCUUGGAGUUAGGGAAGUUUGUUGGAAAUAUUUGAAACUUCAAGUUCUAAGGGAUUGGACGUAUUGCUUUGUGGUUUGUUUGGACAAUCUAAUAUGCACGACGUUGUUUGAGAUAUUGCACCUUCUAAUGCUUCUGAAUAAGUUAUUCUUUGCCUUACGGUGAUGUCCAUUGAGCAUUCUUGAAAUGGAAAUUGCAAACAUAUUGCUUUGCUGUCUUUUUGGACAAUCUAAUAUUUACUGUUUGUUGUAUCAAGAUAAUGACAUGGAUGGAUUUGUGAAAAUGCGUGAUAUUGUUCAAGAUACUUCUCUUUUUAUUACA